rnacentral:rRNA from 1 species
UACGGAGGGGGCAAGCGUUAUUCGGAAUUAUUGGGCGUAAAGGGCGCGCAGGCGGCUGCUCAAGUCAGGCGUGAAAGGCCUGGGCUCAACCCGGGAAUUGCGCUUGAGACUGGGCUGGCUUGAGUGCGGGAGAGGAUGGUGGAAUUCCCAGUGUAGAGGUGAAAUUCGUAGAUAUUGGGAAGAACACCGGUGGCGAAGGCGGCAUCCUGGACCGAUACUGACGCUGAGGAGCGAAAGCCAGGGGAGCAAACGGG